AGGCAGCAGUGGGGAAUCUUCCGCAAUGGGCGAAAGCCUGACGGAGCGACACUGCGUGAGGGAAGAAGGCCUUCGGGUUGUAAACCUCUGUCGAGAGGGGAAGACCUCAGACGGUACCCUCAGAGGAAGCCCCGGCUAACUACGUGCCAGCAGCCGCGGUAAGACGUAGGGGGCGAGCGUUAUCCGGAAUUACUGGGCGUAAAGGGCGCGUAGGCGGUUAGGUGUAUCGAGGGUGAAAUCCCAUGGCUCAACCGUGGGAAGUCUCUCGAGAUUGCCUAGCUAGAGGGUAGAAGAGGGAGAUGGAAUUCCCGGUGUAGCGGUGAAAUGCGUAGAUAUCUGCAGGAACACCAGUGGCGAAAGCGGCUCGCUGGACCACAACUGACGCUGAGGGACGAAAGCUAGGGGAGCAAACAGGAUUAGAUACCCUGGUAGUCCUAGCCCUAAACCAUCAGGACUUGGCGUGUCCCAUUCACUUGGGACGUGCCGGAGCUAACGCGUUAAGUCCUGCGCCUGGGGAGUAUGGUCGCAAGACUGAAACUCAAAGGAAUUGACGGGGGCCCGCACAAGCGGUGGAACAUGUGGUUCAAUUCGACGCAACGCGAAGAACCUUACCUGGGCUUGAACCGCUGGAGACCAUUCGCCGAAAGGCGAACUUCCCGCAAGGGACUCCAGUAGAGGUGCUGCAUGGCUGUCGUUAGCUCGUGCCGUGAGGUGUUGGGUUAAGUCCCGCAACGAGCGCAACCC
rnacentral:rRNA from 1 species